AAGCUGGCCAAGGCCACCAAGGAGCGGAUCUGGCGCGGGGAGUUCAUUGACCUCUUUUCCUUGCUCCACACAGAGCUGGCCCCCGAGCACGGCCCGCGCCCGGGGGACACGCUGGACCAGUGGGUCUCGGCCUUCCUGGUGUACGCCAGCGUGCUGUGCGAGAAGCACCCGGCGCGCUGCGGAGCCAUGUUCAAGUACCUGGACACCAUCCGCAAGCUGCACGCCACCUACGGGGGCACCUCCUGGAUGAACUACGACGAGGACUUUCGGCGGCGGGCGGCCAAGAACCCCAACCUGCCCUGGGGCGACGUCGACCUGGACCUGUGGAUGAAGUGGAUGGCGCCCCUCAAGUCGCUGGUCACCAGGCACCCGCGGGCUGAGGCCGAGGCCAAGGCCGCCCCGGCCACGCCGCCACCUCCGCCUCCUCCUCCGGCACCAGCGCCGUCCCAGAGCCCCAAGGAGCAGGAGAAAAGCCAGACUCCAUGAGAACAGAAGGCCAGUUGGGAUGGCAGUCAGACUAAGUGGCCUGACUCCGUUGGUGUUUAAGUGGAGCUCUGGUAUUCUAGUGCAUUCUUUUACCUCUGCUUCUGUUGCGUUGCAAGCUGUGCUAGAGAAGACGUAGGAAAUUCAUUUUACCCAAUCAGCAAUUGUAACAAUGGACUACAAACCUGCAGAGCAAGCCAGUUUGCUGGAAAACAGGAAUUCCUGCAGCGCAGCACUUGCCACAGACUAUCCAAAGAGGGCAAAGAUUCAGGAAGGUGAAUAAAUUGAACAUUGGUUGAAUGAGGUCAGGAACAGUCUCCCGGAGGAGAACCCUGCCCUAAAAUACUACUUUGAAAGUAUAAGCCAAUUUAAUGCGCUGAUUAACCCUUCUCAUUUGAGCAAACUUGUGUGCAAUCCUGGAUCUUUGCAGAACACAACCGGACACUUAAAA